UACGUAGGGUGCGAGCGUUUGUCCGGAAUUAUUGGGCGUAAAGAGCUUGUAGGCGGUUUGUCGCGUCUGCUGUGAAAUUUCGGGGCUCAACCCCGAACUUGCAGUGGGUACGGGCAGACUAGAGUGUGGUAGGGGAGACUGGAAUUCCUGGUGUAGCGGUGAAAUGCGCAGAUAUCAGGAGGAACACCGAUGGCGAAGGGCAGGUCUCUGGGCCACUACUGACGCUGAGAAGCGAAAGCAUGGGGGAGCGAACAGG
rnacentral:rRNA from 1 species